UACAUGGGUGGCAAACGUUAUCCGGAAUUAUUGGGCGUAAAGGGUGCGUAGGCUGCGCAGCAAGUUGGGUGUGAAAUCCCUCGGCUUAACCGAGGAACUGCGCCCAAAACUGCUGUGCUCGAGGGAGAUAGAGGUGAGCGGAACUUAGGGUGGAGCGGUGAAAUGCGUUGAUAUCCUAAGGAACACCGGUGGCGAAGGCGGCAUCCUGGACCAACACUGACACUGAAAAGCGAAAGCCAGGGGAGCAAACGGG
rnacentral:rRNA from 1 species